rnacentral:lncRNA from 1 species
UACAUCCACUCCAGUACAUUUGUUGGUAAGUAUAAGAGUUUUAUCCAAGACUGACAACAAAUAAGAUAAAAAUAACUGGAUUAAUGUUAAGCUUAAUCCUGUUAAACAACAUGAUAUUCAAGAUAAUGUACAGAAUAUGAUGCACUUUUCAAAUACUGAGUUUAAAUUGAUAUGAAAUGUUGAUUUAUCUGUAACACCGUUGCAUAUUUUAUAAGGAAUAUACAGUUUUUUCCUUGUAGAAAACAGUGUGCUAACAACAUUACUACACUACUAAAUUAAUUUUUCUGAAACAUUUUAUCUUGCAGGGAAAGUCUGAAUCUUGAUUUUGGCAAUUAUUAAGUGGGAAAAUCAUUCAGAUUAAGUACUUUGAAGUGUGAAGUGAGGCUUAUCUGAAUGUAUUAAAUAUCUCUUUUCCCCCCUCUCCCCCGCCUCCUGCCUCAUCAUGUCCUCUGACCGGGGCGAAAAUCCCUACCAACUCUGUAGUGUAAGUUCACACUUAUAUGUACUUAUUAAUCAAUCACUUUAAUGUUACAUUUUUGCUCCGUAGUUUAUAAUGACAUUUCACUGUUUUGUAUUUCACCUCAAUAACAUACAGACGAAAGUAAAGAUAGGUCCUUCGUUGUGUUCGUGCAUUUUCUCUCCGUUUUAGCAAACAUUUUUUACAGGCCAAGGGAGCUGCAGUAACAUCCUUUUACUAAUCGAGUGCGACAAAUUGUAGACUUUGAUAAGAAAUGAGAAAACUAAUGAUCCACACUGAAAAGUUGUGGUUCCAGUAAACUAUAAGAUGCUGAUUUUUUUGCAACUAAAUCUAUUUAUUUUUUGUCCCUCUGUCUUUUCCCUCCUGGACUCCUCAAUGCUAUCUCUAGUGCUAGCCCUGUUCACUGUUGGCAACUCAGCUGUAAGUUCACAAAUAAAGUAACUUAAAAAUGUUUACACUGUUACUUUUUACAACACAUCAUCUAAAAACCUGACAUUAUGUCCUUAAUUAAACUAAUGCAGAACCAAAUGGAUUUAAUUUUGCUGACUGAUUACAGCUGAAACUGCAAUGCAGUGAGAUGUGCUGGUUUUGUACAAUCAAACAAAAAAUCUCUUGUCUCUAUUUUUCCAUUUUCCUUUUUGCCAACUUUGUCCUCUCUCCAAGUGCAGACCGCUUUGUGGUGACUCGACGUAAGUUCACACAGGAAUGACAUUUUCAUGAAUAAGACAGUGUGCCAUUAUUCAACACAUUAUGGACCCCUCAUCAUGUCCUAACUUAAUUCGCUUCCUUUGAUUAUGUAAUACUCACAGUUGGAAAUGAACAGCUUGAAUGUAAUAUGCAAUACACUUAUUUGUAUUUCAUUUCCAGUCAUUGGAAAGCAAUUUAUUACUAUUGAAUUGUGGAGUUGUAAUUUUUUUAAUGAUG